rnacentral:lncRNA from 1 species
AUGAUGAAUAAAAUACUUCACAAACUUCAACUGAAAUAUGAAAUCACUGGAUCUGUGCACAUCCGAGAUUGCUGGAGAAUCAUUUUUAAUCUUGAAUUUGUGAGACCUGAACAUCCCUGGCGGCUCAGCAGUUUAGCGCUGCCUUCAGCCGGGGGCCUGAUCCUGAAGACCUGGAAUCGAGUCCCGUCGGGCUCCCUGCAUGGAGCCUGUUUCUCCCUCUUCCUGUGUCUUUGCCCCUUUCUCUCUUUCUGUCUUUCAUGAAUAAAUAAAUAAAAUCUUAAAAAAAAAAAAAAAGGAAUUUGUGAGAUCUUAGGGAUUCUUUCUGCAAAUGUGGAAACUGAAACCCAAGCUAAAAAAAUGAUAUGCGGGAAUACCCAUUCAAAAUAGGUUGCCACAUUUAAAUAUCGACUUGGCUAGUGAUUUGAGAAUGUGGGAAGCAACAUUCACUGGGUACCAGCCUCACCCAGAGUGACACAGAACCUUUGCCUAGGCAGAAAAUUUCCUCUCCACAGCUUGUCAUCUGUCUUACGUUUAGGAUCCUUGGGAACCUGAAGAAUAUUAGGUCUUUUUAUUAAAGAUACUUCUCUUCCAAAAUCUAGCAAGCUUUAGCAACCUGCAUAUGUUGUAAUGCACAAAAUACUUAAUGUAGUACUUCUUUCUUUGGGAGUGGGGGUGGGGAUUUUUCUUUUUUCUUUUAUUUUUUAUUUUAAUUCCAGUAUAGUUUGCAUACGUUAUUAUACUAGUUUCAGGGACUUAUUCUGGGGAUCCAGUAGUGGCUCAAUAUUCUCAGUCAGCAUGAUGCCACACAUUAACAAAUUGAAGGAUAAAAAUCAUAAGAUCAUUUUAAUGUUCAGAAUAAACUAUUGAAUAGAAAAAUCAAACAUCUGAUUUUAUGAUAAAAACUCUCAACAGAGUGGGUAUGAGAGGAUAUACUUCAACAAAUGAAGGCCAUGUAAAUAUAAAAUACUCAAAAGUAACAUCAUACUCAGUGGUGGAAGAUUUAAUGCUUUAGCCCUAACAAAGAUCAGGAACAACACAAGGAAGUCCACUCGCCCGCUUUGAUUCCACCUAGUACUGCAAGUCUCAGCUGUAAGAAUCUUCUUAGACGUGGCCUCUUUUCUCCUUUUAGUUGUGGAAUCUGUUCUGUCAGUCUUCAGGACAAUUUGUGGGGUAUUUAGGAUGAUUUGAUAGUUACCUAGUUCUCUCCAUAGUAUAUCAUUCUUAAUUUGAAGGAGACAAGUUUCUGGAGGAGAAAGAUGGUAAGGUUAUAUAGUUAGGCACUAUAGAACAGUGUUUUUCAAACUUUCUGGUCUCAGAACCCUUUACAUUUUAAAGAAUUACCAGGGAUGCCAAAGUGUUCUUGUAUAUGUAUACUAUAGAGAGAGGUAUUUAUUGUUAGAAACUAAAGCUGAGAGUUUAUGAAAUAUGUAAAUUAUCAUUUUAAAGUGGCAGCAAAAUAUUUAUUGCACAUUAAUAUAUUUUUUAUCCAGAACAGCUGUCUUUGCAAAAAAAUAAUAAUGAGGAGUAUGGCAUUGUUUUACAUCUCUGUAAAUAUCUUUAAUGUCUGCUUGAUAGAAUACAGGCUGAUCAUCAUGUUUCUACAUUCAUUCUCAGAAGGUAGGCUGUUUUAGGUGAACUUUAUGAGGCAGUAUCAGGCUUGCACAGACCCAUACUUGAUAAGGGAGUAGUAUUAUGGUUAUUAUGGAUACUAUUCCAAUACUAGACAGAUGGCAUCUUAAGGGUUAGUUACGUUGUGGAAUCUGAAACUUGUAUCAAAGAACUUUUUUAGGGACGUCUGGGUGGCUCAGUGGUUGAGCAUCAGCCUUUGGCCCAGGUCAUGAUCCUGGGAUCGAAUCCUGCAGUCAGGCUCCCUGCAGGGAGCCUGCUUCUCCCUCUGCCUAUGUCUCUGCCUCUGUGUGUGGUGUCUCUCAUGAAUAAAUAAAGAAAAUCUUUUUUAAAAAAAUCCAUCAGUUUAUCUCACAAUAAACUUUUACUCAUGCUUUGUUUAUGUGAUAUCAUUCAUUGGUUGUUUGGAAAAUAUUUGUUGCUGUGUUGGGCAGGUAGUUCCAAAUGCCGAUACGUUUGAAAGGUUAUCAAAAAUCACAUUUGCUAAUAAUAUCAUUACCACAAUGCUAUCAGAAAAGUCUCUGAAGUCAUGGGAAGCUAUUGGCAACUUCACAUUCAUUUUCUGUGGAAGGUGCCAGACACCUAAGCCUGAGGAACCAUAGUUUUGUUAAUGGUCUUUUUUUUUUUUUUUUAAGAUUUUAUUUAUUUAUGAGAGACACACACAGAGAGAGGCAGAGACAUAGAGGGAGAAGCAGGCUCCAUGCAGGGAGCCUGAUGUGGGACUUGAUCCCGGGUCUCCAGGAUCACACUGUGGGCCGAAGGUAACACUAAACUGCUGAGCCACUGGGACUGCCCAGCUAAUUGUCUUUUUAAGUAAAAAUAUUGUCACCUAAACAAAGCACAUAGUUCAGCUCACAACUCAGACUGUUAGUACACAGCACUAGUGAUCUGGUGUCCUCCUCAUUGUGUCACACACUUGUCACUCAGAACAUGGAAGAUGUGUACUCAUUGGUUGAGAUAUAAUUAAUACUUUUUUUAUGAGUUUUUCAGUGACAUUCUUGAGUAAAACUGACAUUCCCCCCCUUUCCUGGAAUUCAUGGGGAUAAAGAAUAGGACUCCUGGUUGCUCUGUCUUGUUUGUUGCCAGGCAGCUGCAGUUGUAUGCAGCACUGGUUUUGUACCAUUAGUGCAAAUAGUGUCUUAAUAUAAUUAUUUUUUUUUAUUUUUAUUUAUUUAUGAUAGUCACAGAGAGAGAGAGAGAGCAGAGACAAGGCAGAGGGAGAAGCAGGCUCCAUGCACCGGGAGCCCGACGUGGGAUUCGAUCCCGGGUCUCCGGCCAAAGGCAGGCGCUAAACCGCUGCGCCACUCAGGGAUCCCUUAAUAUAAUUAUAAUGCAGAUCUCAGAGACACAUCAGAGGGUCUUGGUGUCCCUAGGCGUCUGCAGUGCAACCACCUUUUGAAAACUACCGGCAAAGGAAGGUCUCAGGUUUAAUGGGAACGUUAAGCUCAUCCAGUUCGGCUGCUCUGAUUUCCUUGACACCGUGAUGGCCAAGUAUUUACUUAGAUUAUGCCUGAAUACUUCCACUUCCUGUGAAUAAUUAUGCUAAAUGGAUAAAAAUAUGUGGCAUAGACAGCUAUUUGAUGGCAAGUAAGAGAAAUCCUUAAUCAUAGAGUUGUGCUUUGUCCUGUUUUUUAAAAGUUUGCAUAGAUUUCCACAUGGUUUCUCUAAGUAAACAAGCAUGAUAAAAUGUAAAGAUGACUAAAUCAUGUUGUAAAGGACACAUCAUUAUGGUUUUAUUUUUCUUUUGCUGUGUUUAAAGACAAUUGUGAUCUUUGAUUUUGUCUUCUCUAUAAUUAAGUCAACUUAUAUUACACGUGCAUUGUUAUAUAUGCCCCGUGUGUUUCCUGAGUAGAUCACGAGCUACAUGAGGACAAGGGCUAUACAUUUAUGAAAUUUAAAUAGUCUGUAGUCCCUAGGCACUAUCAUGCACAUAAUGGGAUCUGUACAUAUUUAUGGCAUGACCUUUAACCUUUAAAUAGUAGGGAGGGAUGCAUUGGAAUCUGACAGGGCUGGGAAACUGAGGGACCGCUUCACUGGCCUAGGAUGGGUUUGAGAACUCCCGUGGGCAUUUGUGGUUGUGUUCUGAGGACUUGUCAUUGAGGAGGGGCAUGACUUUGCUACUGCUCUCUUUUUGUUGAGCAUGAGGUUAGACAGUAUUUAAAUAUUUUCCCUUAGGCAUGGAACCAUUCGCAUUUCUCCAGGUACGUAUAUAUGAGGGAGCACAUGAGGUGACGGAGAUCAGGUGAGCAUGCCUAUCACUCACUUGGUUGACUUAUCACUCU